CGGAAUAGACAGCAGGGUCAUUUUUUACAUUGUUAAAAUCGAUCAGAACAUUUUCCACUGGAAUUAAGCAGAUAAGAAUUACUUCAUUUUUUCCCCUGAACACCCUAGGAGACCUGUGUUAGAUCUGGGCUUUGUCUGCUUGAAGUGGAAGGGUUGACCUGCUGAAGGGAGAGCCACAAACGUGCUCCAACACUACCAUGGUCUUAUAAAGCUGAGACAGAUUGCAGGGUUAACACUUAUAAUCAACAACAAGAUCAUCAGCUUGAACACUGCAUAAAUUAAAGUGAAAGCAUAUAAAUCUACAACCUUGAAUAAUCCUGUAACAGCAUCUAUUUUAUUUGUUUUGUGUAGCUCAUUGCUUUGACCAUACAUUUGGAGCUACGUAGAGUAUGCCUGCUGAGUCUGGUACACAGAAUCUCUUCCAAGACCUCCCUUUUGCUUCGCGAUGAUGCAGAAGGUGACUCUUCAAGGACACUUGUGAGCAGAGACAGGCACUGGAGAAACCCUAGGCAAGUGCCACAGCACCGUGGUGUCCCAGCAGCUCCCACCAUGAGGGCAUCACCCAAGUUGCACUGCAUGGAGCCACGUGGAAGAGUGUGGAUAUAGAAAUGCCCAGAGGCGGUGGGGAAGGUGCUGUGCCAGGCAGAAAGCUCCAGUGGACGGUGAGGCACCGCUGGCUUGCUGACUGUAUGGAAAGUGCAUCAUUGGGGAGCACCGUGACGAGGAGCUUUCCUGCCUCGCUGUGACUCAUGUGGAUGGCAUUGAGGGAAGACACAGAUGCAAUCUUGCUGCUAUACCUUGCGGCCUUAGGAACGAGCUCCGGCUAAUCAAAACAUAAUUGCGUUUAAUUUCUCAACAUUUGUUUCCAUACAAAAGUCGAACGGCUGAGAUACGAACGCGAACCUGCCUUUAAAUAUGGUCUUCCCUUAAAAAAAAAAAAUAAUAAUACAAGCA
rnacentral:lncRNA from 1 species